rnacentral:rRNA from 1 species
AUUGAACGCUGGCGGCGUGCUUAACACAUGCAAGUCGAGCGGUAACAGGCGUAGCAAUACGUGCUGACGAGCGGCGAACGGGUGAGUAAUGCUUCGGAAUCUGCCCAGUAGUGGGGAAUAACCUGGGGAAACUCAGGCUAAUACCGCAUACGUCCUACGGGAGAAAGCAGGGGACCUUCGGGCCUUGCGCUAUCAGAUGA